rnacentral:rRNA from 1 species
UGGGGAAUUUUGGACAAUGGGCGAAAGCCUGAUCCAGCAAUGCCGCGUGUGUGAAGAAGGCCUUCGGGUUGUAAAGCACUUUUGUCCGGAAAGAAAUCCUUGGCUCUAAUACAGUCGGGGGAUGACGGUACCGGAAGAAUAAGCACCGGCUAACUACGUGCCAGCAGCCGCGGUAAUACGUAGGGUGCAAGCGUUAAUCGGAAUUACUGGGCGUAAAGCGUGCGCAGGCGGUUUGCUAAGACCGAUGUGAAAUCCCCGGGCUCAACCUGGGAACUGCAUUGGUGACUGGCAGGCUAGAGUAUGGCAGAGGGGGGUAGAAUUCCACGUGUAGCAGUGAAAUGCGUAGAGAUGUGGAGGAAUACCGAUGGCGAAGGCAGCCCCCUGGGCAAUACUGACGCUCAUGCACGAAAGCGUGGGGAGCAAACAGGAUUAGAUACCCUGGUAGUCCACGCCCUAAACGAUGUCAACUAGUUGUUGGGGAUUCAUUUCCUUAGUAACGUAGCUAACGCGUGAAGUUGACCGCCUGGGGAGUACGGUCGCAAGAUUAAAACUCAAUGAAUUGACGGGGUCAUAGCUGUUUCC